GGCCCCUUUCACGUGGGAUGUAACAAUCGCUUUUCUUGCUCCAGGAGCAAUAGCAUACAAUUGUUUCAUUCUAGCCGGCUGGACAGCAUUUCACCUUUUGUAAAAACACUAAAUGCUUGCGUUAAUGGUAUGCAAAUCACUCUGCUAGUUAAACUCCUACACAAUGGACAAUAAAAUACAUGAAACACAUAACACACCAAUUCAUUUAAAACCAUAUAACUCAUACUCAGCAUCCAAUGUAAUAUUACAUGUCAUCUCACAAAACAGACAUCUCACAAAACAGACAUCUCACAAAACAGACGUAGUAGAAAACACAUAAUGGAUACGCAGCAGAUAUGCCAAUACAGAAAACACAUUCAUGGGCACGCAACUACAGACUCUGAAACACCUCCAUGAAAACACGGGUAGACACAAUAUGAAAGCAGUCUUAAACUAACACCUCCAAAUCUCCAUUCCCAUAUAACCUCUAUCUAUAUGAUGC